CUAGCUUAUUUUAAUUUUGCAGCUAUGAGCCCCACCCUUAUGCUUUUUUCUCUACUAUCUAUAAUUAUGUGCAUUAUUUCGAAAAUAUAGUUAUUUUAUGUAACAUUGUGUAUUGGUGGUGUUUGUUUAACCUUUGACAUUUCAUAUUAUUUUGUGCCAGAAUUGAAAUUCUUAACAUCAAAUGUAUAGUAUGUUCAGGUUGACUUCUAACUAAAUGAAACUUAAAUAACUCAAAGGUUUUAGAUAGAUAUUAGAGUAAAUGAAUUACUCAUUUACUCUACUAUCUAUGGUUUUACUCUAAAUCUAAUCAAUGCCAAAUUUACACACAGAUAUAUUCUCAGCAAUGCGCUUCAUUUGAUGUAUAGGACUAGUGGAUAAGACUUUAGGAACUGCAGAAAGUAUAAAAGCUGCAAAAUCUAAGCACUGCCGCCACUUAAAAGCCACUGCCUACCAUUAUAAUCACAACAGGAGGUGUGACCGGAAGUUAGAAUAAAUUGUUUAAAAUGGCGUCCAAAGUGAGAAGAAGAGAAAGCAAGGAGUUAGAUUGAAUAGCCAGGGCAGGAAGGGUUUGAUUUAGCUACUCCUGAUAAAUAGAAGAACUUGGUAAAACAUGUUCAAGAUAAUUUUGAGGAUCACUACUGGGAACUGGACGGAAUUCGGGAAUUUGUCAUCCAUGAUUCUAUGUUGUCUAAUUGGUGGUGAAUCUGAUGAUUAAUAUGAUAGUAGUGAUGAUGAAGUACUACCAUCAGACCCUGACUCUGAUGAUGACUUGGCCGCUCUGGAUGAGUCUGAUUUUUAUGUAUAAUAAUAGUGUUUUAAUCCAAUGUUUUUAUAAUGCAUGCUAAUUAAUAAUAAUGAAAUUCAUAACUACUUCAUACUCACUUAACAUC